GUGGAAUCUGUGUGGUGCUGUAAUAGAUAUUAGAAGCCAAUCGCGGGUACAAUGAAGUUGAUACCGCUCGUUGUGUUGUUGAUCGUUGAAGUCUCCUGUAGGCCAUACAUGUCGUCAAACGAUCAUCACUAUUUAAAAUCUCUAGAGAAAAACGUUGAAGAUCACGACUACGAUUGGGGAGUGCCGGAAACGCCGCCACAGCUAGACCAAAUAGACGUGCGACUGAGUCUGGCCUCAACUAAUGAACCACCAAAGACGAAUGAGCACGCAUCGAACAGCCAAAAAUCCGUGCGAUUUCAUGGUGCUGGAAGGUGAUCUACUAUAAUUGAGUGUACAUUUUAAUUGUUAGUUUGUUUAAGCGACCUAAAUAGGAAAUCGAUAGUAUUAUUGACAACUAAUGAGUA